UGAUAUUAGAGAACAGCGGAAGUGACAAAUGGAUGAAACCCGACGCAGCUGCCUUAGGAGUGAACAUGGAAGCGCCAGAGAGCCUCCCAGGAAAAGUGAGCGCCUGUCGUGUGUGGCAGAAGACCACCUACGACCUCACACACAGGAUCAGAAGCCUGAUCUCAAAGUGAUGCCAUCAAGGCCCACAAACACCUCCGGCAGCCCUGAGUCAUCGCCGUUUGACAAUCCAGUACCAAGCAUCCAAUCAUCAGCCAGGAGGGCCACUGGCCACCCACACAGACAUGCUGAGCCACCAUGA
rnacentral:lncRNA from 1 species